UGUCGGGCCCAGAGAGUCUCAGACACCAGUCGCCACCUUACAGGCCAAGAUGAGCUCUCCUGCCUAGGCUGUCCCUGUCCCGUGGUCCCCUGUCCCACUGCCCUGCCGGAGAGGCCCAGGAAUGGCCCUGUUUCCCAUCCUGUGGGGCUGGGUUCUCAUGGGUGCAGUGAGUACAGAUGCCGACACAAGCUUCGUGGAGCAAAGCCCCAGGUGGGUCCUGGUACCUCGCGGACAGGCUGAAACACUGCACUGCAUCCUGAGGAAUUCCCAAUACCCCUGGAUGAGCUGGUACCAACAGGAUCUCCAGGGGCAGCUACAGUUGCUGGCCGAACUGCGGAGUUCUGGGGAUGAGAAGGUCAUAUCCCUUCCUGGAGCAGAUUACCGAGCCACGCGGGUCGGUGAAACAGAGCUGAACCUACACGUGGCCAAUGUGACCCAGGGCAGAACCCUAUUCUGCACCUGCAGUAAAGACACAGUGAGACAUCCUUCUUGGGCAAAUGAAUAAAAACCACCCCUGGUUCCCAACCACAGACCCAAUGUCCUCCUCUGCCCUGACGGUCCCCCAGCCUGCUUCCUCCCCACCCAGAGACUCCCUUCUGGCCUCUUUACUACAAGCAGACCUCCCCUGCCACUUUCCCACUGCGCUUCAGAGACACUCGGCCAAAUGAGCACAGCAAUCGACCCGUGGGCUCUGCAGGGCUGGGGGCAGCCUUGACUCUGCCACUUGGGGCUUUGGGGAGGACCUCAUCUCACUGAAACUUAGUUUCUGUGUCUGCAAAGUACAGACAGUAACUCUACCCAACUCAGAAGGUUGCUGCUAGGAUUAACAACGCAAUUCAGGUGAAGCCUUUAGGAAAAUACAGAGGCACGUAGGAAGCAUUUAAUCACUGUUAGCUAUUUU